UACAGAGGUCUCAAGCGUUGUUCGGAUUCAUUGGGCGUAAAGGGUGCGCAGGUGGCGCGGCAAGUCGGAUGUGAAAGUCCCGGGGCUCAACCUUGGAACUGCAUUCGAUACUGCCGUGCUAGAGUGCUGGAGAGGAGAUUGGAAUUUACGGUGUAGCAGUGAAAUGCGUAGAUAUCGUAAGGAAGACCAGUGGCGAAGGCGGAUCUCUGGACAGCUACUGACACUGAGGCACGAAGGCCAGGGGAGCAAACGGG
rnacentral:rRNA from 1 species